GACGUAGGAGGCGAGCGUUGUCCGGAUUCAUUGGGCGUAAAGGGCUCGUAGGCGGUUUGUCGCGUCGGGAGUGAAAACACCGGGCUUAACUCGGUGCUUGCUUUCGAUACGGGCAGACUAGAGGCAUGCAGGGGAGAACGGAAUUCCUGGUGUAGCGGUGAAAUGCGCAGAUAUCGGGAGGAACACCAGUGGCGAAGGCGGCACUCUGGGCCGGUACUGACGCUGAGGAGCGAAAGCGUGGGGAGCGAACAGG
rnacentral:rRNA from 1 species